CCUACGGGUGGCAGCAGUGGGGAAUAUUGCACAAUGGGGGAAACCCUGAUGCAGCAACGCAGCGUGGGUGAAGGAGGGUUUCGGCGCGUAAAGCCCGGUCAGCGGGGAAGAAGAAAGAAGGUACCAGACCAAGAAGCACCGGCUAACUAAGUGCCAGCAGCCGCGGUAAUACGUAGGGGGCGAGCGUGAUCCGGAAUUACUGGGGGUAAAGGGAGCGUAGACGGCGAGGUCAGCCGGUCGUGGAAGCCCGCGGCCCAACCGCGGAACUGCGUUGGGAACUGUUUUGCUGGCGUAUGGGAGGGGUCAGCUGCCUUCCUUGUGUAGCGGUUAAAUGCUUCGAUCUCAGGAGGAACUCCG
rnacentral:rRNA from 1 species